rnacentral:rRNA from 1 species
UACAGGGGGGGCAAGCGUUGUUCGGAAUUACUGGGCGUAAAGGGCUCGUAGGUGGCCAACUAAGUCAGACGUGAAAUCCCUCAGCUUAACUGGGGAACUGCGUCUGAUACUGGAUGGCUUGAGUUUGGGAGAGGGAUGCGGAAUUCCUGGUGUAGCGGUGAAAUGCGCAGAUAUCAGGAGGAACACCAAUGGCGAAGGCAGCUCGCUGGGACGUGACUGACGCUGAGACGCGAAAGCGUGGGGAGCAAACAGG